CUUUCUCGCAUCAACUCGUGCGGUGGGGUUUCGUCAUUUAUAAAACGGAGCCGUGGAUAUAUCACGUGUCGAGGACAGGAACAUUUUUGCUGUGAUUUUCUCGAUAAGAUUUAGUGGUUUUUGAUUGGCGAAUAUUGACGUUUGCAACAACACGAGAGUAACUAAAAUCGACGGAACUUUGGUAGUGGAAAAGUUAAUGCCCCAAGGGAGUUUAUCGAAGUUUAACUUGAACUAAAGAGAACUGCAGAUUCGUUUUAAAUAGUGAGUUUUUUUAAUUGUUAUCUCUGGAUCGGAUACGGAGAAAGUCGCGGUCUAUUGCCGCCAAGCGCGGCAAGAAAGUAAAGUUUUCGGAAUGGACGGAUCAUGACACAGGGCCAGCCGAUGUCGAUAUAUCCCUUAAUCUCAUGAUACGAGGACGAGCGACGCUUUUUGUAUGGAGGUCUUUUGUUAGAUGAAUAUUGGAAGAAGGAAAUUUUUCGUAUUUUUAUAUUGAAUGUAAUUAUUUCUACUACAUUUUCCAAGUAUCAUUUAUGAGAA